ACCCAUCGGCCAACGCCUUUAUUGGGGACCAGGGUAUGACCCAGCAGGUAUCUCCCAUGGGGAGUUCCAACUGGUGAGUUUAAAGAAAGCAGGCACAUGUUCCAGGAAGGCAUGCUGCGACUGAGAGGUGGUCACGGCAGCAUAUCUGCGAAGUCCAUGCAGGGCACAGAGGUCAGGGAUGCGAGUCAAGUAGGUUUUAUCUAGCUGUCCCAUAGAGAGGUGGUCACCAGGAGGCAGUUGUAUAAGGCAGAUAUCUGGCUCGACCACAUUGAAAAUUGGGAGGAGGUACAGAACUAGAAAGGGCAAUAAGGGUGACUAAGCUCUGCUUCUGGCAUGAGAAAGGUAAACAUAUUCUAAAUGGAUGCUGAGGUAACAUGAAAAUUCUAAGAAUUCACUACGGUGGUGGCCCUCUAAAUCCAUGUCCAGUGUCUUCAUAUGAGACAGAAGAGCAAAGGAAACACACAGUGGAGAAGGUGACGAGAAGAUGGAGGCCGAGAAGGAAAUGAUGCAUCUAUGAGCCAAAGAACAUCGAAGACCACCAGCAGCCACUGGAAGGAAGUCUGGAGAGAGGCACAAACCAGCUUGCAGAUGGAACCAAUCCUAUUGACAUCUUAACUGGAUUUCUGGCCUCCAAACUUUAAGAGAAUAAAUUUCUCUUCUUUGAAGCCA